GGGGAAUUUUCCGCAAUGGGCGAAAGCCUGACGGAGCAAUGCCGCGUGGAGGAGGAAGGCUCGUGGGUCGUAAACUCCUUUUCUCAGGGAAGAAUAGAUGACGGUACCUGAGGAAUAAGCAUCGGCUAACUCCGUGCCAGCAGCCGCGGUAACACGGGGGAUGCAGGCGUUAUCCGGAAUUAUUGGGCGUAAAGUGUCCUGAGGUGGCUGGCCCAGUCUGCUGUGAAAGUCUGGGGCUUAACCCUAGAAAUGCGGCAGAAACUAGCAAGCUAGAGUACGGUAGGGGCAGGGGGAAUUCCCGGUGUAGCGGUGAAAUGCAUAGAGAUCGGGAAGAACACCAAUGGCGAAAGCACCCUGCUGGGCCGAUACUGACACUGAAAGACGAGAGCUAGGGGAGCGAAUGGGAUUAGAUACCCCAGUAGUC
rnacentral:rRNA from 1 species